CUUGAUGUGUAGGAUAGGUGGGAGGCUUUGAAGUGUGGACGCCAGUCUGCAUGGAGCCGACCUUGAAAUACCACCCUUUAAUGUUUGAUGUUCUAACGUGGACCCGUUACCCGGGUUGCGGACAGUGUCUGGUGGGUAGUUUGACUGGGGCGGUCUCCUCCUAAAGAGUAACGGAGGAGCACGAAGGUUGGCUAAUCCUGGUCGGACAUCAGGAGGUUAGUGCAAUGGCAUAAGCCAGCUUGACUGCGAGCGUGACGGCGCGAGCAGGUGCGAAAGCAGGUCAUAGUGAUCCGGUGGUUCUGAAUGGAAGGGCCAUCGCUCAACGGAUAAAAGGUACUCCGGGGAUAACAGGCUGAUACCGCCCAAGAGUUCAUAUCGACGGCGGUGUUUGGCACCUCGAUGUCGGCUCAUCACAUCCUGGGGCUGAAGUAGGUCCCAAGGGUAUGGCUGUUCGCCAUUUAAAGUGGUACGCGAGCUGGGUUUAGAACGUCGUGAGACAGUUCGGUCCCUAUCUGCCGUGGGCGCUGGAGAACUGAGGGGGGCUGCUCCUAGUACGAGAGGACCGGAGUGGACGCAUCACUGGUGUUCGGGUUGUCAUGCCAAUGGCACUGCCCGGUAGCUAAAUGCGGAAGAGAUAAGUGCUGAAAGCAUCUAAGCACGAAACUUGCCCCGA
rnacentral:rRNA from 1 species